AUGGUGCCCGGGUCAGCCUUACCAAAACUGGGGCGCGCCAAUUAUUUGGCGAAGCUUUUUGCCGCCGCUGUUUCGCCCAGGAGCUGGCUGAAAAGUGAACGCAGGAACCAAAAUUUUGGCAGGGAUCUAAGAAGUUGGCGUCAAUCCAAACGAGAGCCCACGCCCGCAGUCAACGCCAAAAUUUUGGCUUGGCAGUGGCCGGCUACGAUCCAAACAGACCCUAAACUUCCCACACCGACGACGCGCUCGCCGGUGUCCGCACCUGACUACCCAACCGCAUCAGAGACGCCGCCACUGUAAUCUCCUCCCGCCGCCGAGUCCCCACGCCCGACUACCCCAAGUACAGCAGAGACACAACUGCCGCAAUCUCCGUCGUAAUCCCCGUGUCCGAUGUCCCACGCGCCGGAAGUCGACGAACCGCACACCAACGCUAUGGCCGUCAGCUUGGUCACUCCGCCGUCCUUCCGCCAUCGUCCACAGCAACCUUGCCUCACCACGGGAGCCCGCCCGUUCACUCUGCCGUUAUCCACUGCGUUGCCUGUUGAUGAUUGAAGCUCAACCACUCUGCAAAGGAUCCGUGUGCGGGAAACACCUCAAGGCUCUCCAUGGGCCUCGGCUGCUGAUGUUCGAUGGCAUGCACGCCAAUGGAGCCGGACCGGCAUGGCUGCAUCAUCCUGUUAGACCAGGCAGAGGUAAUUUGCAGGUGGCUUGACAAUCCCAUCCUUGUUCAAGGAAUGCAUAUUGUUAUUCAGUUUGUGAAAUCAUUAAAGAGGAAAUAAUCAAAUGGAUGAAAUAUUAACCGACUGUUGUAUCAGGUCUACAUCUCAUGAAAUUUUUGGCAAAGAGAAAACUACUGAUUAGUGGGAUUAUCUUCAGAUAUUUGUUGAAGCAUGCGUAAAAGUAAUCUGAUAUUGAUCUUAUGAUCUUUGAAUUUUCGUUGUGCAUGGCCCUCCUCCUCUCCAAAAAAACAAGGGAAGACUUGUGUCCCUUCCAAAACUGGCUGGUGGAGGAGAUUAGCUUCGUUAGAUGCUUUGCCUGUGCUGAUGCUGCCACUUCAUUUCUUAAUAAUGAUAAGAGGCAGUACUGUUUCAGUAUAUUGUUGCUUAGUUAGGGUGACCUUAAAGUUUAAACAUGCAAAGUGGGGAAUACAUUAAGGAGGGGAGGAGGGGCAUAUACUUUAUUUGCGUGUACAGUGAUGUUCUGAAUUUCAUGCCAGGUAAGUGUACUUAUAAAUUAUACUGGAUUGACGAUGACAACAUGCAAGGGUUUGAUCGCUUGAUUUUAUAUUAUAAUUUCUAAUGUACUAAUGGAUGGGAUUGAAUUACUUAAGUUGACAACUGAUUAGUUUCUAGCAAAUUGGGAUGAACUGUGGGAAUAUCUUUAAAUUUUCAUACACUAGAUUUUCAUAUUCAUGUGUUGAUUUUUAAAUUCAUGACUUCAAAUGAUUCGAGCCCGCCUUUUUAUCACAAAAAUGUUUUGCAAAUGGUUGCAGAAGGCUCGUCUAGGAUAAUUUGUUCACCACCUUGAGAUGUUGAUGGCCAACAUUAAAUAGGUACAGUAGAAGACUGUUCCGACUUUGAAGAACCCAUUGGACACAAUGUCUUCAUACGGGUGAGAUUGGGAAGGAGAUAGAACAAGAGAGUGUUGUGAGAAGAAGCGGUAAAAUAAAGAUUGUGAUGCAUUACGCACUUGAAAAGUCCCAGAAUUUUAUAAAUACAUAACAUAGAUGUACCAAUUGAUAAUGUGGAGAGGAUUGAGAAAUAGAAAUGAACUCUCAUUCGUUUGGUGUAUAGAUCAUACUGUCUCUCUAGACGCCAUGGUGCUAGACCGACAGUGCAGGGUGCUGCUACACCAAAGGGUGUAACUGUGAUGACAUAAGGCACAACCGAACUGGGGGCAUGAGAAUACAAACAAUUGAAUUGA